GAUGAACGCUAGCUACAGGCUUAACACAUGCAAGUCGAGGGGUAACGAGAGGAAAGCUUGCUUUCCUUGUCGACGACCGGCGCACGGGUGAGUAACGCGUAUCCAACCUGCCCCCAACUAGGGAAUAACCUUGCGAAAGUAAGACUAAUACCCUAUAAUUUCCUCAGAUGACAUCUGACGAGGAAUAAAGAUUUAUCGGUUGUGGAUGGGGAUGCGUCUGAUUAGCUUGUUGGCGGGGUAACGGCCCACCAAGGCAACGAUCAGUAGGGGUUCUGAGGGGAAGGUCCCCCACAUUGGAACUGAGACACGGUCCAAACUCCUACGGGAGGCAGCAGUGAGGAAUAUUGGUCAAUGGGCGGAAGCCUGAACCAGCCAAGUAGCGUGCAGGAUGACGGCCCUAUGGGUUGUAAACUGCUUUUAUGCAGGAAUAAAGUUAGCCACGUGUGGUUAUUUGUAGGUACUGUAUGAAUAAGGACCGGCUAAUUCCGUGCCAGCCGCCGCUGUAA
rnacentral:rRNA from 1 species